rnacentral:lncRNA from 1 species
GCAUGUGCAUGUGGUUUAUAGUGUGAUUUGGGCCUGGAGAGACUGCAAGGAGGGAGACCUGGGUCAAAGCCACCCAGAAUGUGGGAUGUGAUUCCAGUGGGCCUGAGCCUGUAGCAGUAGUGUGGCGGAGAGUCCUGGAUCAGUGUCUCCAGGAGAGGUGAAGCUCCAUCUCUGGAAUGAAGUCUUGUGGCAGAGAGUCCAAAGACCAAUCAUAGAAACAACGAAGAGCAUUGGGCUCUUGGGAAUCCAUACGUCUGUCUACUUUACUGUUUUCCAAAUGGGAUUUCAAGCAGCGGACAUGGAAGUAAGAAUGAGUAGGAGUUAGUGAGCUGGCUACAGAAAAGGGAAAAUAAAAACUGAAUUUGGAGAAAAUCCAUUUUGGCUGAAGUGGCACUCUUCCUACCUCUGGAAAAUGUGGC